UAUUAAAUAUUUUGUUGCAUGAAAGAUAGGGAGUUGCUUGACUAGCUGAGAGAACUGAUAAGUUCUCAAGAAGGACUCUGUUCUGUAGAGUUAGGUAUUUGUUCAGUAUGACCCAUACUUGGGUGAAGCUCAAUUCAAAUUUAAUCAAUUUUCAUGUAAAUGGUCCAUAAUACAAAAUUAAAUAUAUGCCUUUUCAGUCUAGUUUUUAUUGGUUAAAUAUUCAGACUUACCAUGGCACCCAAGCACCAGCAUGGAAAAAACUGCAAGAAGGAACUUCAUAUUUCUGAUCUGAUAAACAGACACUAACAGACUUUUAUAUAUAUAUAUAAUCUGUACAAGAUAAGAUCUUGCUUAGAAUCAAGUACUUGAAAUCAAGUUGUUAAUCAUUUUCAGGACAAUGAGAGAUGACCCAUGUUCAAAUGAUAAUUAUUUUACUUGAAAUGAUAAAGUAUAAUUGUGCCAAAAUAUUGAAGUUAUAUGUAUUUUGAACUUAGCAUUAUGUAAAGUGCCUUGGGGUUGUCAGUAAAGUUUCUAUCCAUAAAUUUGUUCCAUCAGUAAAAUUUAAAUUGUGAAAGGAAGUGUUGUGCUUGUUUAAUGUUCAUUUUAUCAUUGUUUUGGUCAAAUAUAUACUUUUAUAUUUUGUAAACCAUCAAAUAAAAUUACAAAGACAAGUUGUUUUUGAUGCCUGUACCUGCCUCAAAUUUUUCUUUCCAGCAUCUGAUUGAUCUUGCUCUAAAACUACAUGUCUGGUGGUGAAAUGAAUCAUUCAAGUUCUGAAGCAUGAAGUACUGGUUAGGUGACAGAUACAAAGUUUACAUGGGAAAAACCAGACUGCUUUUGUUAUAUUUUCAGCUACUCAAUUAAAAGGAAUAUAACAACUCGCAACUUGAUUUCAGUACUGAUAAGCGAAAUCACAUCACAAUUGUAUCACAUUUUCAUCAUUCUUGAAGACAGAAAGUGGGCUGAUAGAUAUUGAAAUGGGGACAAGUGUUGCCAUGAUGAGAUAAUCUAAUCAGGGUUUACUAUCUACAUCUGAUGCAUCCAUAUCUAAUGCUCUCAAAAGAAACAUGUUUUGUCCACAUGUGAUACAUGUCCAUACCCCCUAACCAUAAUGUUACAUAUUUUUGUUGUAGUGAGUGCAAAGGAUAGGAGAAAGCUGUGAGUUAUUUAUUAAUUGGAAGUAGGUGAGCUGCUGCUGAAGAGGUCAAGGUUCAGACUGAGUUGCAGUGGCAGUAGAAAGAUGAGGGUGUUACAUAAACAUUGAGGCAACUAAUAUGCAAACUUGUUAAUAGAAUUAAAUGAAAUGAAAUAACUGUGAAAGAGGCUUUGUGUUUAAGUUACAAAAAGCAAGACAUUCUUUAUGAACCAUAUGCUGGAGUAUUGCAGGACUAUAUUAUCAGUUUCCAUCAUUUAUUUGUAAUGAAACAGAAUAUGUAGAAUAGGUAAUAUAGUCACAAUACAAGUGUAACUCUGGAAGUUAGUAUUUUGAAUCCAAGUGUGGAUGCCAGGGUUCAUUGCUAGGACAUACCUUAUGGGAUUUACAAGGAAUAAAAUGAAAGUAGUUAGGUUUAUCCGCAAGUACCGUGGCCUUUUUAUUGUUUCAUCCCAUUGUUCUUCCAACUUCAGUUUGUGUUACACAUCUGAACCAGCAUUACCCAUUACAUACAGUUCAAGCAAAUAAAUGUUGAGCCUGCUUUUGUAAUAAUUUAUAUUAGAGAGGAGAUUUAAUAUUGCAAUUUUUUUAUCAUUUGUAAUAUCGUAAAUAUGAAAUAUUUUCGUUAGCUAAUAUUUCCAAUCACGAUAGUUAGCAUGUGGGGGGGGGGGGAUCAUGGAUUUCCCGAUCUGCGGUUUAUGCUUAGUAGUACAUUUAAUCUGGAUUGCUGUUUAUUAUUAGAUCAGUUAGUAAUUAAUGGCACCCAGCCGAUAAAAGUUGCUGCCAAAUAUCUCCAAUAAACUUUUGUGCAUAGGCAUAUGACCUUUUACACUUCAAUUUGAGUAACGUAGUUCCCAGUAUUCAGUGCGCGUAGGACACGUGGGUUCAUUACUCAGACGUACUCAUCCAAGGGCGGAUUACGUUGCUAUAAGCGUUCAGUUACAACAUUGAACUUGAAGGAUCUGAGUACUCUUUUGGAGGUGGGUGAUGCUGGUGCCAUGGAUCCAGACGAGGCAGCUGAACUUGAGAAGAAAUGAAGCCAUUUGAUUCCAGAACAGGGAAAGGCGAACAGGAGUGCAGUUGGGAAAUACAACAACAAAUAGGACGAGUUUCGUGGCGUCAAAAUAGCAGUUCUGUUGGCUAUGCAGGCCCUAGGAUCACUGGUUCGUCUGUAAGCAGUGGACAUGCUCUUUGCCAUCUGGAGACAGGAGAUU